rnacentral:rRNA from 1 species
UACGGGGGGGGCAAGCGUUGUUCGGAAUUACUGGGCGUAAAGGGCUCGUAGGCGGCCAACUAAGUCGGAUGUGAAAUCCCCAGGCUCAACCUGGGAACUGCAUCCGAUACUGGAUGGCUUGAAUCCGGGAGAGGGAUGCAGAAUUCCAGGUGUAGCGGUGAAAUGCGUAGAGAUCAGGAAGAACAUCGGUGGCGAAGGCGCUCUGCUGGACCAUAACUGACACUCAGGGACGAAAGCUAGGGGAGCGAAUGGG